rnacentral:rRNA from 1 species
ACGUAGGGUGCGAGCGUUAAUCGGAAUUACUGGGCGUAAAGCGUGCGCAGGCGGUGAUGUAAGACCGAUGUGAAAUCCCCGGGCUUAACCUGGGAACUGCAUUGGUGACUGCAUUGCUGGAGUAUGGCAGAGGGGGGUGGAAUUCCACGUGUAGCAGUGAAAUGCGUAGAGAUGUGGAGGAACACCGAUGGCGAAGGCAGCCCCCUGGGCCAAUACUGACGCUCAUGCACGAAAGCGUGGGGAGCAAACAGGA